ACUUUAAAGUACCCAUUAAAUGGGUUUCUUGUACCCAUUUUUAUUGUUAGUACUGAGUUGUCAGAAAAAGGGUAUUAUUUUUUGACAUUAAAAAGGGUACAUUUUACUCUUCUUGAAGAAUGAGAUCCGUCAACAAUAAUGGGUAAAAAAGCCACUUGUCGUUAUAUGGAGUGAAAACUUUGAAUAUUUUGCCACGAAUUAUAUAUCAUUAAUUUGUAGAAAGAAUCAUGAACCCUCGAAGAAACAUGGAAAGCGGCAAUUAGAGAUCGUUUUUUUCAUCCGGGAUCUGGAACAGGAAGAUAUGGAGUAAGAGACACGGACAAUGAAAAAUUCAACGUAAAAGUAUCCCAAUUAGCAGUUUAUUCAUAAGUAAUCAUCUAAUAAAAUGAUGUUCAUUAGACUA